UACGUAGGUGGCAAGCGUUGUCCGGAUUUACUGGGCGUAAAGCGCACGUAGGCGGCUUUGUAAGUUAGAGGUGAAAGCCCAGGGCUCAACCCUGGAAUUGCCUUUAAGACUGCAUCGCUUGAACAUCGGAGAGGUAAGUGGAAUUCCGAGUGUAGAGGUGAAAUUCGUAGAUAUUCGGAAGAACACCAGUGGCGAAGGCGACUUACUGGACGAUUGUUGACGCUGAGGUGCGAAAGCGUGGGGAGCAAACAGG
rnacentral:rRNA from 1 species